GCUCCUACGGGACGCAGCAGUGGGGAAUAUUGCGCAAUGGGCGAAAGCCUGACGCAGCGACGCCGCGUGAAGGAAGAAGGCUUUCGGGUUGUAAACUUCUUUUAAGAGGGAAGAGUAGAAGACGGUACCUCUUGAAUAAGCCACGGCUAACUACGUGCCAGCAGCCGCGGUAAUACGUAGGUGGCAAGCGUUGUCCGGAUUUACUGGGUGUAAAGGGCGUGUAGCCGGGCCGGCAAGUCAGAUGUGAAAUCCCAAGGCUCAACCUUGGAACUGCAUUUGAAACUGUUGGUCUUGAGUAUCGGAGG
rnacentral:rRNA from 1 species